rnacentral:rRNA from 1 species
AAUAGAUACCCCGGUAGUCCACGCCGUAAACGAUGAGUGCUAGGUGUUGGGGGGACCCCCCUCAGUGCCGCAGGUAACCCAAUAAGCACUCCGCCUGGGGAGUACGGUCGCAAGACUGAAACUCAAAGGAAUUGACGGGGGCCCGCACAAGCGGUGGAGCAUGUGGUUUAAUUCGAAGCAACGCGAAGAACCUUACCAGGGCUUGACAUCCCGCUGAUCGGUGUAGAGAUAUGCCUUUCCCCUUCGGGGGACAGCGGUGACAGGUGGUGCAUGGUUGUCGUCAGCUCGUGUCGUGAGAUGUUGGGUUCAGUCCCGCAACGAGCGCAACCCUUGUUUCUAGUUGCCAGCACUUCGGGUGGGCACUCUAGAGAGACAGCCGGUGAAAGCCGGAGGAAGGUGGGGAUGACGUCAAAUCAUCAUGCCCCUUAUGUCCUGGGCUACACACGUGCUACAAUGGCUGGUACAAAGGGCAGCGAACCCGCGAGGGGGAGCCAAUCCCAAAAAACCAGUCUCAGUUCGGAUUGCAGG